rnacentral:rRNA from 1 species
GUUAGGAAUAUUGGACAAUGGGCGCAAGCCUGAUCCAGCCAUGCCGCGUGAACGAUGAAGGCCUUCGGGUUGUAAAGUUCUUUAGACGAUGAUUAUAAUGACUGUAGUCGGAAAAUAAGCCCCGGCUAACUUCGUGCCAGCAGCCGCGGUAAUACGAAGGGGGCGAGCGUUAUUCGGAAUCACUGGGCGUAAAGCGUGCGUAGGCGGUUUUGUAAGUUAGGAGUGAAAGCCCAGGGCUCAACCUUGGAAUUGCUCUUAAAACUGCAAGGCUCGAAUCUCGGAGAAGAUAGCGGAAUUUCCAGUGUAGCAGUGAAAUGCGUAGAUAUUGGAAGGAACACCAGUGGCGUAAGCGGCUAUCUGGACGAGUACUGACACUGAGACACGAAAGCAUGGGGAUCAAACAGGAUUAGAUACCCGAGUAGUCC